UUGUACAAAUAAGGCAUUACAUUCAAAGACAAUCUACAGGAUUGUCAUACCAAUCAAUUAUAUGAAAAAGUGCAUUCAAAGUACAAAUGCCUACACGCUUCUUCCUCCCUGGAACUAAAUGCACAGUUGCUUUCACGCUCCACAGCAAGCCGUCCUUGGUGUACUAAUGCUUCUCUCGUUGCGAGCCUAUUGUGAAAGAGUCUCCAUGCAAACAACCUUUAAUUUUGAAGGAACUGAGCUGCACCAGAUUUUUUUUAACACUAGUCCCAUCUCAUUUUUUACUGUUAAAUAAUUGUUACUCUGCAGCUAAAUUGUGUACCCGGACCUGACAGAUUAACCUCCUGCCACAUCUAGCUUCCACACCCACCUGUCAUGCUCCCUUCAGUUCCGUGAAAUCUCCUGCAACAAAAUUUAUAAUUCUCUGCUUAGCAAUUCCUCCCAAUCGAAUAAUCGCCGCCUUAAAUUCCACUGCCACAACCACAAUUCUCCGCUCCACUGUCCCAUCUCUGAUACAGUAGCAUACUUAUUCUCUGCAACUGAGUACAACCUCGGAUAUACAUGCAUUAGUGGUUCCGGUCCCACCCAUUUAUAGUGCCAAUUUUAAUUUUCUCUCCUCUGCCAAGCCUUAAACUAAUGCCAUCAACAAACUAGUUUGCUCCAUUGUUUAAUGUUGUUCCCAACUCCACCAAAGCGAUUGUUUAUUGUCUGCAGCUUCAUCUUCUCCAUUCAUGAUAGCUUCACUAAGAUUCCCAUACCUGUAUUUCAGAAAGUUAUGCCGUAUGCUAUCUGUAUCAACAAGCAUCCUCCAUCUCCACAUUGCCAGUAAAGCUAUAUUGAAAGCCUCAGGAUUCUUUAUUCCCAAGCAUCCUCCAUCCCAUCGGACACACCUUUUGGAAGAAUAUAGAUUGACAUUCAUUUAUAUCAUAUACAUAGUGUUUCUUAAUAUCUACGGUGUUCCGUAACAAUGGAUUGGACCUCUUUUAUGUUCUUUGAGUUGUCAUUCAUGAUAUUUAUUCUUUAAAGUAUUUUAUAAUAAAUUUUUACCAUUCGUCUGUUUUUUGGCAUAACUACUAUUUAAACUUUUGUUUCUUUUAAACUUCUUCUUCUAGGAUGAUGCAGGAUAUAUAUGUAAGAUGUUUGGUGAUGGUGUGGGACAGACUUGUAAGCCAAGCAUGUGCAUGGUACAAUGUUACUUUUGUGGAGGAACAAAUAAUUUUAAGAUUAUCUCUAGUAGAGAAAUAGAUAGCAUACAUUCGAGAACAGGCUUCAGGGACAUGCAUCUGGUUGCAAGACAAAAGGUCAAUUUUCUAGCUGAGUUGGUUUAUAUAUGUUAGGGUUAAAUAUGUUUCGUACCAAUCAAAUUACCAUAUUUUGUUUCUUCAUCUCUAUAAAAAAAUUGCCAUUUUUAAACAAAACAUGUUUAAUUAUUUUUCAACUUUGUAAUUUUGGAAGAACAAAAAAAUACGAUUUUCUUUUAUGGAGAUGAAAAACAAAAUACAUUUAACCCUAUAUGUUAUGAUUGUGAUUUAUGAAAUUACAUGCAGACAUCUUUCAUUUCUAUAAUUUUGCAAACUAUGAUUUUUUUUUUUUUUUUUUAAAACUCGAUAUCCGACUCAAGAACUAAUUAUGAUAUUAAGAAAUCUAUUGCGAUUUGGCAUAGAUACAAGAACCUCUUUUAAUUACCAUAUCUAUAAACUCAUGGAAUUAACAAUUUAUGCUCAAACUUGGGUCUCUAUUGCAGGAAUGUGCAGCUGCAUUCGUGUUCUUUAAAAGUAGAUAUGCUGCUCUUAUGGCUGCCCGAAAUCUUCAAGCAUCAAAUCCUAUGUUAUG
rnacentral:lncRNA from 1 species